ensembl:snRNA U6 U6 spliceosomal RNA
AUGGUCACCUCUGCAGCACAGAUAUUACAUCUGGAAACACACAGAGAACACUAGCAUAGUCCCUGCCCAAGGAUGACAUGGAAAUUCACAAAUUAUUCCAUAUUUUU